AUUGAACGCUGGCGGCAGGCCUAACACAUGCAAGUCGAGCGAGCGGCGGACGGGUGAGUAAUGUAUGGGGACUGCACGAUAGAGGGGGAUAACUACUGGAAACGGUAGCUAAUACCGCAUACUAUCGGAUAACCCAUAUGGGAUUAGCUAGUAGGUGAGGUAAUGGCUCACCUAGGCGACGAUCCCUAGCUGGUCUGAGAGGAUGAUCAGCCACACGGGGACGGAGACACGGCCCAGACUCCUGCGGAGCCACCAGUGGGGAAUAUUGCACAAUGGUAGCCAUCCUGAUGCAGCCAUGCCGCGUGUAUGAAGAAGGCCCUAGAGUUGUAAAGUACUUUCAGUCGGGAGGCGUUACCGACAGACGAAGCACCGGCUAACUCCGUGCCAGCAGCCGCGGUAAUAC
rnacentral:rRNA from 1 species